GACGUAGGGUGCGAGCGUUGUCCGGAUUUAUUGGGCGUAAAGAGCUCGUAGGCGGCUCGUCGCGUCUGCCGUGAAAACCCGCAGCUCAACUGCGGGCUUGCGGUUGAUACGGGUGGGCUGGAGUUCGGUAGGGGAGACUGGAAUUCCUGGUGUAGCGGUGAAAUGCGCAGAUAUCAGGAGGAACACCGGUGGCGAAGGCGGGUCUCUGGGCCGAUACUGACGCUGAGGAGCGAAAGCGUGGGGAGCGAACAGG
rnacentral:rRNA from 1 species